GGAUGAACGCUGGCGGCGUGCCUAAUACAUGCAAGUCGAGCGAACGGACGAGAAGCUUGCUUCUCUGAUGUUAGCGGCGGACGGGUGAGUAACACGUGGAUAACCUACCUAUAAGACUGGGAUAACUUCGGGAAACCGUAGCUAAUACCGGAUAAUAUUUUGAACCGCAUGGUUCAAAAGUGAAAGACGGUCUUGCUGUCACUUAUAGAUGGAUCCGCGCUGCAUUAGCUAAUUGGCAAGGUAACGGCUUACCAAGGCAACGAUGCAUAGCCGACCUGAGAGGGUGAUCGGCCACACUGGAACUGAGACACGGUCCAGACUCCUACGGGAGGCAGCAGUAGGGAAUCUUCCGCAAUGGGCGAAAGCCUGACGGAGCAACGCCGCGUGAGUGAUGAAGGUCUUCGGAUCGUAAAACUCUGUUAUUAGGGAAGAACAUAUGUGUAAGUAACUGUGCACAUCUUGACGGUACCUAAUCAGAAAGCCACGGCUAACUACGUG
rnacentral:rRNA from 1 species